UUUAUACCUUUGUUGCUUUGGCGAGCCGCUUCGGCCACCGGCUUUUGCUGGUGAGUGCUCGCCAGAGGAUCCAAACUCUUGAAUUUAUUAUUGUCUGAGUACUAUAUAAUAGUUAAAACUUUCAACAACGGAUCUCUUGGUUCUGGCAUCGAUGAAGAACGCAGCGAAAUGCGAUAAGUAAUGUGAAUUGCAGAAUUCAGUGAAUCAUCGAAUCUUUGAACGCACAUUGCGCCCUGUGGUAUUCCGCAGGGCAUGCCUGUUCGAGCGUCAGUACAACACUCAAGCUCAGCUUGGUCUUGAGCCCGGCGGGAAACCGCGGGCUUUAAAAUUAGUGGCGGCGCCAUCUGGCUCUAAGCGUAGUAAUACUCCUCGCUCUUGAGUCCCGGUGGAUGCUGGCCAGCAACCCCCAAUUUUCUAAGUUUGACCUCGGAUCAGGUAGGGAUACCCGUUGAACUUAAGCAUAUCAAUAAGCGGAGGAAAAGAAACCAACAGGGAUUGCCUCAGUAACGGUGAGUGAAGCGGCAACAGCUCAAAUUUGAAAUCUGGCUCUUUCAGGGUCCGAGUUGUAAUUUGUAGAAGAUGCUUCGGGUGUGGCUCCGGUCUAAGUUCCUUGGAACAGGACGUCAUAGAGGGUGAGAAUCCCGUAUGUGACUGGUUGCCUUCGCUCAUGUGAAGCUCUUUCGACGAGUC
rnacentral:rRNA from 1 species